rnacentral:rRNA from 1 species
UACGUAGGUGGCGAGCGUUGUCCGGAUUUACUGGGCGUAAAGCGCGCGCAGGCGGCAGUCUAAGUCCUCUGUGAAAUCACCCGGCUCAACUGGGUGGCUGCGGAGGAGACUGGGCAGCUUGAGGGGCCUAGAGGCCGGUGGAACUCCCGGUGUAGUGGUGAAAUUCGUAGAUAUUCGCAAGAACACCAGUGGCGAAGGCGGCUCACUGGCUCGAUACUGACGCUGAGGUGCGAAAGCGUGGGGAGCAAACAGG